GCCAGUUGCGAAAGCACGUUGAAUGCACCAGUUCCCUGUGACGUUAAGCAACGUUCCGUGUGGUUAAUAUCCGGAUGGGUGACCAUCUGAGCAAUCGCGUGCCGCUUUCU
rnacentral:rRNA from 1 species